rnacentral:rRNA from 1 species
GAUGAACGCUGGCGGCGUGCCUAAUACAUGCAAGUCGAGCGAACAGACGAGGAGCUUGCUCCUCUGACGUUAGCGGCGGACGGGUGAGUAACACGUGGAUAACCUACCUAUAAGACUGGGAUAACUUCGGGAAACCGGAGCUAAUACCGGAUAAUAUAUUGAACCGCAUGGUUCAAUAGUGAAAGACGGUUUUGCUGUCACUUAUAGAUGGAUCCGCGCCGCAUUAGCUAGUUGGUAAGGUAACGGCUUACCAAGGCAACGAUGCGUAGCCGACCUGAGAGGGUGAUCGCCCACACUGGAGCUGAGACGCGGUCCAGACUCCUGCGGGAGGCAGCAGUAGGGAAUCUUCCGCAAUGGGCGAAAGCUUGACGGAGCAACGCCACGUGAGUGAUGAAGGUCUUCGGAUCGUAAAACUCUGUUAUUAGGGAAGAACAAAUGUGUAAGUAACUAUGCACGUCUUGACGGUACCUAAUCAGAAAGCCACGGCUAACUACGUG